rnacentral:lncRNA from 1 species
CAGGGGCGGAGAGAUCUUUGCACAUACAUACAAGAAUGUUUAACCCAGCAUUAGUUUUGGAGGGUAAACAUUUUGAAAUUAAGUGGUUUCUAUGACUAUGACAAUAUAUUUAUAUCAGACACUAUUACAUUACUAUAAAACAGAAUGAAGUAAUAGUAUACCCAUUGUCUUAAAGAAGUUCCCUCAAGAGACUGUAGAGAGAAAAGAAAAAGACAAAGAAAAAUAGCUACAUUACUAUGUGAGCCAUGCCUGUCGGUAUAGCACCCUCUGAGAAGUAUGGACACUAACAGAUUUUCAGUAUGUCUUACUUAAAUGAGUUUUCCUGUGUUGCAGAAAAGGAGAGAAAAGGAAAGAGGCAGAAUAAAAGACGAAGAGGAACUGAGAAGGAAGACAUGCGAAAAGAUAAUUAAAUCCAGAGGAAAACAGAUUCCAAAAUUAGCUAUGAGAAAAGAUAUGAUGAAAAUUGAUAAUAUAAAGUCAAUCAUCCAGAAAAUACUUUUACCUGCUCACGAUGCACCAUUCUAA